AUACUUACCUGGCAGGGGAGAUACCAUGAUCACGAAGGUGGUUUUCCCAGGGCGAGGCUUAUCCAUUGCACUCCGGAUGUGCUGACCCCUGUGAUUUCCCCCCCCCCCCAAAAAAAAAGAAAAAAAAAAAAAAAACUCGGGUGGAGCGAAGUCCCACAGCACAUGGC